GACGAACGCUGGCGGCGUGCUUAACACAUGCAAGUCGAACGGGAAGGCCCUUCGGGGUACACGAGUGGCGAACGGGUGAGUAACACGUGGGUGAUCUGCCCUGCACUUCGGGAUAAGCCUGGGAAACUGGGUCUAAUACCGGAUAGGACCACUGCCUGCAUGGGUGGUGGUGGAAAGCUUUUGCGGUGUGGGAUGGGCCCGCGGCCUAUCAGCUUGUUGGUGGGGUGAUGGCCUACCAAGGCGACGACGGGUAGCCGGCCUGAGAGGGUGAACGGCCACACUGGGACGGAGAUACGGCCCAGACGCUGACGGGAGGCAGCAGUGGGGAAUAUUGCACAAUGGGCGCAAGCCUGAUGCAGCGACGCCGCGUGAGGGAUGACGGCCUUCGGGUUGUAAACCUCUUUCAGCACCGACGAAGCGCAAGUGACGGUAGGUGCAGAAGAAGGACCGGCCAACUACGUGCCAGCCGCCGCAGUAA
rnacentral:rRNA from 1 species